rnacentral:misc_RNA from 1 species
GUUGGUGAACCAGCGGAGGGAUCAUUACCGAGUCUAGCACUCUCCAACCCACUGUGAACAUACCUUAGUUGCUUCGGCGGACCCGCCCCGGCGCCCUCGGGCCCGGAAUCGGCGGCCGCCGGAGGACCCCAAACCACUGAUUACCAUGUGUAUUCUCUGAGCAGGCGUAAUGCCGAAAAUGAAUUAAAACUUUCAACAACGGAUCUCUUGGUUCUG